UACGGGGGGGGCAAGCGUUGUUCGGAAUUACUGGGCGUAAAGCGCGCGUAGGCGGCUUUGUAAGUUAGAGGUGAAAGCCCGGAGCUCAACUCCGGAAUUGCCUUUAAGACUGCAUCGCUAGAAUCAUGGAGAGGUGAGUGGAAUUCCGAGUGUAGAGGUGAAAUUCGUAGAUAUUCGGAAGAACACCAGUGGCGAAGGCGACUCACUGGACAUGUAUUGACGCUGAGGUGCGAAAGCGUGGGGAGCAAACAGG
rnacentral:rRNA from 1 species